UUUUUCUCUUAAAUCCUCUGAUCUUCUUAUCUCAUCUUUAUCUUUCAGAAGAUUUAGAGUUUGAUUUGUGGGAGUGAGAGUUAGAUGUUUUGUUUGCCGGUUUCGGUUUUACCGUCCGGCUCUUGUCUCCGGUGGUGGAUCAGUUCCUCCGAUCAUCGUCCGGCUCUGCCUCCGGGAAGCGACGACUCUCACAGCGUCGACUUCGUCGGCUUCUGUCUCCGGGAGACGAUGUCUUCAUGGAAUCGUUCUCGCCGGCACCGCUCGAUCUACGAUUCAGUUCUUCGUUGUCCGACUGCCUCUCGCUCCAAUCCUCUGUUGAUUAGGAUCGAUUGUAGGCGUCGUUGUUUCUUCUCUGAAUUGUAGAUCCACCAGUUUUGGCUUUCGGUUUGAGCCUCUGUGAAGAUUGGUUCUUCUGUGGUUCGUCUUCGUCGUCGGCGGAGUUCCGUCGCCUCCUCUGGUUCCGGUGGAAGGAAGUGGUUCCUCGUCUUGACCCGUGUCUCAUUGAUCGCCGGGCGAUCGUCCACGUGGAAGAUGACGUGCCGUAGCUUGCUUCCUCGACGGUUUUCCUUUCUGUGUUGGGCCCGUGUGUUGGGUUUCUUUAAUGUUAGUUGGGCUUCGUCUUGCUUUUUCGUUUUGGUUUGUUUAGGGCUUGGUCUUGUUGGGCUGAGUUUCUUUUAAUAAAAUUCCAG
rnacentral:lncRNA from 1 species